UCACAAAUAAUUCAUCAAACUAACAAUUCAUAAUAAAAGCACAAUCAUUCUACUAAACAAUUGUGUUGUCGUAUUCAAAUUUUUCAUUAACAAAAUUAGGUUUAGGGUUCUAUUUGAACCAUUUUAUAAAACACAUAGUCCAAAAAAAAUUGUCAAAACAUAGAGUACAAACAGGUAAUGAGACAAAACACAAGUUCAAAAAAUGUAUAAACUAUUUUUUAAUAUAAUAUUAAAAGUUGUGUUAAAUUUAGCUGAUAACUCUACAAAAUAGAGUUAUUUUACCACAUUUUAUAAGUCAAUUGUUGCUUAGUUCUUGAGUUUUAAAUUAAUUUAUCAAUUUUUUAAGUAAUUUUGAAUUUAUUAGUUUUAUUUUGAUUUUAUGUAUUUUUAUUUAUUUUUUGUAUUUAUUUUGUUUAAUUAUGUUGUUACUAAUUUAUGUGUGUUUAAUUUCUUUAUGUAGGUGUAUUUGUUGGGGCAAAUGAAAUGUUGAUAAAAUGUUGGUAUAAAGAAAUGAAGAAAGCAAGCCCAAAAUGAAAGGCCCAAUCCAAUUCUUGACAAUGCCAUGUCAUCAAUCCAUGUGCUUCUUUCUCCACCAUUGGAUUUGUAACUAUAGGAAAAGAUGACAAUUUUGAGCAUGAAUCCAUGUGCUUUUUUUUAGACUAAUAGGAGUGUUAUCCUUUACCAAAGAAUUUAUCUAUAAAUAGGAGUCUCAUUUCACCAUUUCAAGCACACCUUCUCUUACACCACUUCUUCCAUCUCUCUAUUCUCUCCAUCUUUUUCUUUUCUUAGAUUAGUUUUUAUGUAUUUUUAGAGGAAUAAUUUGGAGGUUCCUCCUCCAAAUUUUCCUAUUUAUGUUGUAAUUUUUAUUUUUGUUUUUGAUAGUUAUGGGUUUCUAAUCCACUUAAAAUUAUUAAGGUGGAGGAUGAACCAAGAUAUAACUAUAUAGUGUUUAUUUUAUGUUGACCUCCCAAAAUGAGCAAUAAAGUUUAUGAUUUUUCUUCUUCUAAAUAUUUCUUUCAUCUAUAAUAUCAUGUAUUUUAGAUUGUUAUAACAUAUUUUACUUGGUUCUUAAUUGUGCAAAAACAUAGUAUUCUUUGAUUAAGAUGUGUCAUUAAAUUGUUCACAUCCAAUGCUUAGAACAAAAAUACUAUAUUUUGCUUUAGAAAUAACAUUAUUUGAUUUUUUUGUAGUUUCAUUAAAUUGAUUCACAACUAAUGCUUUAAAGUUAUACUAUUGAAGUGAAGGAAAAUCUAUAUUUUUUGAAUUAAAGAGAGCUUAAAGGAAGAAUAAUGUUUUGGAAAAGGUAAUUAGAUUAAUUUCAAUUAUCACUAAAAAUUGGGAAGUCAACAUAUUAAUAAAUAUUAUUAUUUAUAUUUUGUGGAUUCUAAAAUCUUAAUAAUUUUAUAAAUAACUAUUAAAAACAAAUCUUUUUAGUUUAUUUAUUUUAAUUUUUUUUAGUAUUUUCUUUCUUUAUUUUAAAACAAAACACAUCAAUCUUUGGAACUAGGUUAGAAAUUUAUUUCACUUUGGUAAAAAUAGUUUUCUCUUUUGAUUUAAGUCAACUCCUUUGGGUUCGACCUCGUGCUUACACGAACACUAUUCUAUAAAUACGAUUCGUGCGCUUGCGAGUAUAAAUAUUUAAAACAUACCCGUUUUGGGUCCAUCAAGUUUUUGGCGCCGUUGCCGGGGAGUUGCAAAGAAGAGAAACAAUUUGUGUCAAGGUGUAUUUGUUGGGGCAAAUGAAAUGUUGAUAAAAUGUUGGUAUAAAGAAAUGAAGAAAGCAAGCCCAAAAUGAAAGGCCCAAUCCAAUUCUUGACAAUGCCAUGUCAUCAAUCCAUGUGCUUCUUUCUCCACCAUUGGAUUUGUAACUAUAGGAAAAGAUGACAAUUUUGAGCAUGAAUCCAUGUGCUUUUUUUUAGACUAAUAGGAGUGUUAUCCUUUACCAAAGAAUUUAUCUAUAAAUAGGAGUCUCAUUUCACCAUUUCAAGCACACCUUCUCUUACACCACUUCUUCCAUCUCUCUAUUCUCUCCAUCUUUUUCUUUUCUUAGAUUAGUUUUUAUGUAUUUUUAGAGGAAUAAUUUGGAGGUUCCUCCUCCAAAUUUUCCUAUUUAUGUUGUAAUUUUUAUUUUUGUUUUUGAUAGUUAUGGGUUUCUAAUCCACUUAAAAUUAUUAAGGUGGAGGAUGAACCAAGAUAUAACUAUAUAGUGUUUAUUUUAUGUUGACCUCCCAAAAUGAGCAAUAAAGUUUAUGAUUUUUCUUCUUCUAAAUAUUUCUUUCAUCUAUAAUAUCAUGUAUUUUAGAUUGUUAUAACAUAUUUUACUUGGUUCUUAAUUGUGCAAAAACAUAGUAUUCUUUGAUUAAGAUGUGUCAUUAAAUUGUUCACAUCCAAUGCUUAGAACAAAAAUACUAUAUUUUGCUUUAGAAAUAACAUUAUUUGAUUUUUUUGUAGUUUCAUUAAAUUGAUUCACAACUAAUGCUUUAAAGUUAUACUAUUGAAGUGAAGGAAAAUCUAUAUUUUUUGAAUUAAAGAGAGCUUAAAGGAAGAAUAAUGUUUUGGAAAAGGUAAUUAGAUUAAUUUCAAUUAUCACUAAAAAUUGGGAAGUCAACAUAUUAAUAAAUAUUAUUAUUUAUAUUUUGUGGAUUCUAAAAUCUUAAUAAUUUUAUAAAUAACUAUUAAAAACAAAUCUUUUUAGUUUAUUUAUUUUAAUUUUUUUUAGUAUUUUCUUUCUUUAUUUUAAAACAAAACACAUCAAUCUUUGGAACUAGGUUAGAAAUUUAUUUCA